GAUAGCUGUGAAACCAGCAUGGGACUGUUCCAGACUCCCUGAAAGAGGAUGUCAGUUUGGAGGAUUUGAUUUAUUAUUGGAUAUUUUGGCUUCCAUGAUGUUAAUAGUGGAAAUAUAAACAUGGCUUUCUGCAUUUGUAAACUUCAGACUUUUCACAGGCAGCAUCCUGUAGCAUCUUAUUGUUUAGAAAUAUGGCCUCUGUUAAGUAAAGAGAAACACAAAACUGA